AUUGAACGCUGGCGGCAUGCCUUACACAUGCAAGUCGAACGGCAGCACGGGAGCAAUCCUGGUGGCGAGUGGCGAACGGGUGAGUAAUAUAUCGGAACGUGCCCAGUCGUGGGGGAUAACGUAGCGAAAGCUACGCUAAUACCGCAUACGAUCUAUGGAUGAAAGCGGGGGAUCGCAAGACCUCGCGCGAUUGGAGCGGCCGAUAUCAGAUUAGGUAGUUGGUGGGGUAAAGGCUCACCAAGCCGACGAUCUGUAGCUGGUCUGAGAGGACGACCAGCCACACUGGGACUGAGACACGGCCCAGACUCCUACGGGAGGCAGCAGUGGGGAAUUUUGGACAAUGGGCGCAAGCCUGAUCCAGCAAUGCCGCGUGCAGGAUGAAGGCCUUCGGGUUGUAAACUGCUUUUGUACGGAGCGAAAAGGCUCUCUCUAAUACAGGGGGCUCAUGACGGUACCGUAAGAAUAAGCACCGGCUAACUAUGUGCCAGCCGCCGCAGUAAGAC
rnacentral:rRNA from 1 species